rnacentral:rRNA from 1 species
UGGUGGGUAGUUUGACUGGGGCGGUCUCCUCCCAAAGAGUAACGGAGGAGCACGAAGGUUAGCUAAUCCUGGUCGGACAUCAGGAGGUUAGUGCAAUGGCAUAAGCUAGCUUGACUGCGAGAGUGACGGCUCGAGCAGGUGCGAAAGCAGGUCAUAGUGAUCCGGUGGUUCUGAAUGGAAGGGCCAUCGCUCAACGGAUAAAAGGUACUCCGGGGAUAACAGGCUGAUACCGCCCAAGAGUUCAUAUCGACGGCGGUGUUUGGCACCUCGAUGUCGGCUCAUCACAUCCUGGGGCUGAAGUAGGUCCCAAGGGUAUGGCUGUUCGCCAUUUAAAGUGGUACGCGAGCUGGGUUUAGAACGUCGUGAGACAGUUCGGUCCCUAUCUGCCGUGGGCGCUGGAGAAUUGAGGGGGGCUGCUCCUAGUACGAGAGGACCGGAGUGGACGCAUCACUGGUGUUCGGGUUGUCAUGCCAAUGGCACUGCCCGGUAGCUAAAUGCGGAAAAGAUAAGUGCUGAAAGCAUCUAAGCACGAAACUUGCCCCGAGAUGAGUUCUCCCUGAGACUU